GAUGAACGCUGGCGGCGUGCCUAAUACAUGCAAGUCGAGCGAACGGACGAGAAGCUUGCUUCUCUGAUGUUAGCGGCGGACGGGUGAGUAACACGUGGAUAACCUACCUAUAAGACUGGGAUAACUUCGGGAAACCGGAGCUAAUACCGGAUGAUAUUUUGAACCGCAUGGUUCAAAAGUGAAAGACGGUCUUGCUGUCACUUAUAGAUGGAUCCGCGCUGCAUUAGCUAGUUGGUAAGGUAACGGCUUACCAAGGCAACGAUGCAUAGCCGACCUGAGAGGGUGAUUGGCCACACUGGAACUGAGACACGGUCCAGACUCCUACGGGAGGCAGCAGUAGGGAAUCUUCCGCAAUGGGCGAAAGCCUGACGGAGCAACGCCGCGUGAGUGAUGAAGGUCUUCGGAUCGUAAAACUCUGUUAUUAGGGAAGAACAUAUGUGUAAGUAACUGUGCACAUCUUGACGGUACCUAAUCAGAAAGCCACGGCUAACUACGUG
rnacentral:rRNA from 1 species